GCUCUUGAUAUCUUGAUAUAGGAUAAGUGUUUUUGGGAAGCAAGUACAAGUUAUAAUACGACUAAACGCAAAAGGUACAGAUGCACAGUUCGGUAAUCCACCAGUUUAGGACACCCUCUUCUGCAGUUUGGAGUGCUCUUCUUAUUCCGGAGCCUACAUGUUGGUAUAUAUUCGUUCGUUGCAUAUGUAUAUAUUUGUUCAGGGGUACGGCGGGGCCCUGUCCCGCCAUAUGAUUCGGUUGGUCUGUUUAGAGGUCUGUAGAUGUAUUUGUGGGUGUGUGUGCCUACUUCUGUUCA